rnacentral:sRNA from 1 species
CGCCAGUGUGAUGGAUGCGGUCUGGGUUGAGCUGGAAUUGGCCCAUGGUUCUAGUCAUAUCACAGUUAUGCAAGUAGUGUUGAUAAACACUGACUGAAUGGGGCAA